UUCCCCUAGUAACUGCGAGUGAAGCGGGAAGAGCUCAAAUUUAAAAUCUGGCGGUCUUCUGGCCGUCCGAGUUGUAAUCUGGAGAAGUGUUUUCCGCGUCGGACCGUGUACAAGUCUCCUGGAACGGAGCGUCAUAGAGGGUGAGAAUCCCGUCCAUGACACGGACCACCGAUGCUUUGUGAUACGCUCUCGAAGAGUCGAGUUGUUUGGGAAUGCAGCUCAAAAUGGGUGGUAAAUUCCAUCUAAAGCUAAAUAUUGGCGAGAGACCGAUAGCGAACAAGUACCGUGAGGGAAAGAUGAAAAGCACUUUGGAAAGAGAGUUAAACAGUACGUGAAAUUGUUGAAAGGGAAACGCUUGAAGUCAGUCGCGUCUCACGGAACUCAGCCUUACUUCGGUUUGGUGUACUUUCUGUGUGGACGGGUCAACGUCAAUUUUGGUCGGCGGAGAAAGGUUGAGGGAAUGUGGCGUUGUUUCGGCGACGUGUUAUAGCCCUCUUCCGCAUACGUCGGCUGGGAUUGAGGACCGCAGCGCGCCUUUAAUGGCCGGGGGUUCGCCCUACGUACCGCGCUUAGGAUGUUGGCAUAAUGGCUUUAAGCGACCCGUCUUGAAACACGGACCAAGGAGUCUAACAUGCUUGCGAGUGUUCGGGUGGAAAACCCUUGCGCGUAAUGAAAGUGAAAGUUGGGAGCCUCCGCAAGGGGGUGCACCGACGCCCGGCCCUGAAGUUCUCUGACGGUGCUGCGGUAGAGCACGUAUGUUGGGACCCGAAAGAUGGUGAACUAUGCCUGAAUAGGGCGAAGCCAGAGGAAACUCUGGUGGAGGCUCGUAGCGAUUCUGACGUGCAAAUCGAUCGUCAAAUUUGGGUAUAGGGGCGAAAGACUAAUCGAACCAUCUAGUAGCUGGUUCCUGCC
rnacentral:rRNA from 1 species